GACGAACGCUGGCGGCGUGCCUAAUACAUGCAAGUCGAGCAAAGUUUUUCUGGUGCUUGCACUAGAAAAACUUAGCGGCGAACGGGUGAGUAACACGUAAAGAACCUGCCUCAUAGACUGGGACAACUAUUGGAAACGAUAGCUAAUACCGGAUAACAGUAUUUCUCGCAUGAGAGAUAUUUAAAAGUUGGUUAUGCUAACACUAUGAGAUGGCUUUGCGGUGCAUUAGCUAGUUGGUGGGGUAAAGGCCCACCAAGGCGACGAUGCAUAGCCGACCUGAGAGGGUGAUCGGCCACACUGGGACUGAGACACGGCCCAGACUCCUACGGGAGGCAGCAGUAGGGAAUCUUCCGCAAUGGGCGAAAGCCUGACGGAGCAACGCCGCGUGAGUGAAGAAGGAUUUCGGUUCGUAAAGCUCUGUUGUUAGGGAAGAAUGGAUAUGUAGUAACUAUACAUAUAAGAGACGGUACCUAACCAGAAAGCCACGGCUAACUACGUGCCAGCAGCCGCGGUAAUACGUAGGUGGCAAGCGUUGUCCGGAAUUAUUGGGCGUAAAGCGCGCGCAGGUGGUUUAAUAAGUCUGAUGUGAAAGCCCACGGCUCAACCGUGGAGGGUCAUUGGAAACUGUUAAACUUGAGUGCAGGAGAGAAAAGUGGAAUUCCUAGUGUAGCGGUGAAAUGCGUAGAGAUUAGGAGGAACACCAGUGGCGAAGGCGGCUUUUUGGCCUGUAACUGACACUGAGGCGCGAAAGCGUGGGGAGCAAACAGG
rnacentral:rRNA from 1 species